rnacentral:rRNA from 1 species
GGGGCCCGCACAAGCGGUGGAGCAUGUGGUUUAAUUCGACGCAACGCGAAGAACCUUACCAGGGCUUGACAUCCCCUGACCGCGUAUGAAAGUACGUUUUCACCCUCGGGUGACAGGGAGACAGGUGGUGCAUGGUUGUCGUCAGCUCGUGUCGUGAGAUGUUGGGUUAAGUCCCGCAACGAGCGCAACCCCUACGUUUAGUUGCUAACGCGUGAAGGCGAGCACUCUAGACGAACUGCCGUUGACAAAACGGAGGAAGGUGGGGAUGACGUCAAAUCAUCAUGCCCCUUAUGUUCUGGGCUACACACGUGCUACAAUGGCCGGUACAGACGGACGCAAAGCCGCGAGGUGGAGCAAAUCCUAAAAAGCCGGUCUCAGUUCGGAUUGCAGGCUGCAAUUCGCCUGCAUGAAGUCGGAAUCGCUAGUAAUCGCAGGUCAGCAUACUGCGGUGAAUACGUUCCCGGGCCUU